rnacentral:misc_RNA from 1 species
AACUUUCAAUAAUGGAUCACUUGGCUCUCGCAUCGAUGAAGAACGCAGCGAAAUGCGAUAAGUAAUGUGAAUUGCAGAAUUCAGUGAAUCAUCGAAUCUUUGAACGCAUCUUGCGCUCCUUGGUAUUCCGAGGAGCAUGCCUGUUUGAGUGUCAUUCAACUUCUCAACCACAUUCGUUCAUUGAUUGUGGCUUGGAUGGUGGGGGUUUAUUUGCAGGCUUCUUCUGUGAAAACAGAAAGGUCGGCUCCCCUGAAAUGUAUCAGUGGUAUCUGAGGCUAUUGCUAUAGGUGUGAUAAUUAUCUAUGCCCUUGGUAUGCCGCAUGGAACUGCUUCCAACAGAGAUGAUCUUUUUGAUGAAUUUGACCUCAAAUCAGGUAGGACUACCCGCUGAACUUAAGCAUAUCAAUAAGCGGAGGCU